rnacentral:rRNA from 1 species
UACGAGAGGCCCAAACGUUAUUCGGAUUUACUGGGCUUAAAGAGUUUGUAGGCGGUUCGGUAAGUGAGAUGUGAAAGCCCUCGGCUCAACCGAGGAAUUGCGUUUCAAACUGCCGGGCUCGAGGGAGAUAGAGGUGAGCGGAACUGAUGGUGGAGCGGUGAAAUGCGUUGAUAUCAUCAGGAACACCAGAGGCGAAGGCGGCUCACUGGGUCUCUUCUGACGCUGAGAAACGAAAGCUAGGGGAGCAAACGGG